GGGCGUGUAGCUCAGUGGUAGAGCACGGUACUUAUAAUACCGGGGUCGGAGGCUCGAUCCCUCCCACGCCCACCA
rnacentral:tRNA from 2 species